rnacentral:rRNA from 1 species
CAGUAGCCGCGGGAAUACGGAGGGAGCUAGCGUUAUUCGGAAUUACUGGGCGUAAAGCGCACGUAGGCGGCUUUGUAAGUAAGAGGUGAAAGCCUGGUGCUCAACACCAGAACUGCCUUUUAGACUGCAUCGCUUGAAUCAUGGAGAGGUCAGUGGAAUUCCGAGUGUAGAGGUGAAAUUCGUAGAUAUUCGGAAGAACACCAGUGGCGAAGGCGGCUGACUGGACAUGUAUUGACGCUGAGGUGCGAAAGCGUGGGGAGCAAACAGGAUUAGAUACCCCUGUAGUCCCUGUCUCUUAUAC